GACGAACGCUGGCGGCGUGCCUAAUACAUGCAAGUCGAGCGCAGGAAAUCGAUGGAACCCUUCGGGGGGAAGUCGACGGAAUGAGCGGCGGACGGGUGAGUAACACGUAAAGAACCUGCCCUCAGGUCUGGGAUAACCACGAGAAAUCGGGGCUAAUACCGGAUGGGUCAUCGGACCGCAUGGUCCGAGGAUGAAAGACGCUCCGGCGUCGCCUGGGGAUGGCUUUGGGGUGCAUUAGCUAGUUGGUGGGGUAAUGGCCCACCAAGGCGACGAGGCAUAGCCGACCUGAGAGGGUGGUCGGCCACACUGGGACUGAGACACGGCCCAGACUCCUACGGGAGUCAGCAGUAGGGAAUCUUCCACAAUGGACGAAAGUCUGAUGGAGCAACGCCGCGUGAACGAUGAAGGCCUUCGGGUCGUAAAGUUCUGUUGUAAGGGAAGAACAAGUGCCGCAGGCAAUGGCGGCACCUUGACGGUACCUUGCGAGAAAGCCACGGCUAACUACGUGCCAGCCGCCGCCGUAAAAC
rnacentral:rRNA from 1 species